rnacentral:rRNA from 1 species
GUGGGGAAUAUUGGACAAUGGGCGAAAGCCUGAUCCAGCCAUGCCGCGUGUGUGAAGAAGGUCUUCGGAUUGUAAAGCACUUUAAGUUGGGAGGAAGGGUAGUAACCUAAUACGUUGCUACUUUGACGUUACCGACAGAAUAAGCACCGGCUAACUUCGUGCCAGCAGCCGCGGUAAUACGAAGGGUGCAAGCGUUAAUCGGAAUUACUGGGCGUACAGCGCGCGUAGGUGGUUCAGUAAGUUGGAAGUGAAAUCCCCGGGCUCAACCUGGGAACUGCUUUCAAAACUGCUGAGCUAGAGUACGGUAGAGGGUGGUGGAAUUUCCUGUGUAGCGGUGAAAUGCGUAGAUAUAGGAAGGAACACCAGUGGCGAAGGCGACCACCUGGACUGAUACUGACACUGAGGUGCGAAAGCGUGGGGAGCAAACAGGAUUAGAAACCCUUGUAGUCC